rnacentral:rRNA from 6 species
AAAUUGAAGAGUUUGAUCAUGGCUCAGAUUGAACGCUGGCGGCAGGCCUAACACAUGCAAGUCGAACGGUAACAGGAAGCAGCUUGCUGCUUUGCUGACGAGUGGCGGACGGGUGAGUAAUGUCUGGGAAACUGCCUGAUGGAGGGGGAUAACUACUGGAAACGGUGGCUAAUACCGCAUAACGUCGCAAGACCAAAGAGGGGGACCUUCGGGCCUCUUGCCAUCAGAUGUGCCCAGAUGGGAUUAGCUUGUUGGUGAGGUAACGGCUCACCAAGGCGACGAUCCCUAGCUGGUCUGAGAGGAUGA